UACGGGGGGGGCAAGCGUUGUUCGGAAUUACUGGGCGUAAAGGGCUCGUAGGCGGCCAACUAAGUCGGAUGUGAAAUCCCCAAGCUUAACUUGGGAACUGCAUCCGAUACUGGAUGGCUUGAAUCCGGGAGAGGGAUGCAGAAUUCCAGGUGUAGCGGUGAAAUGCGUAGAUAUCUGGAGGAAUACCGGUGGCGAAGGCGGCAUCCUGGACCGGCAUUGACGCUGAGGAGCGAAAGCGUGGGGAGCGAACAGG
rnacentral:rRNA from 1 species